rnacentral:tRNA from 1 species
GCCCUUGUAGUUCAAUGGAUAGAACAAAAGUUUCCUAAACUUUAGAUCAGAGUUCGAUUCUCUGCGAGGGUACAA